rnacentral:rRNA from 1 species
CCUGAUCCAGCACGCCGCGUGAGGGAUGACGGCCUUCGGGUUGUAAACCUCUUUCAGUACCGACGAAGCGCAAGUGACGGUAGGUACAGAAGAAGCACCGGCCAACUACGUGCCAGCAGCCGCGGUAAUACGUAGGGUGCGAGCGUUGUCCGGAAUUAUUGGGCGUAAAGGGCUCGUAGGCGGUUUGUCGCGUCGGGAGUGAAAACGCCGUGCUUAACACGGCGCUUGCUUUCGAUACGGGCAGACUAGAGGUAUGCAGGGGAGAACGGAAUUCCUGGUGUAGCGGUGAAAUGCGCGGAUAUCAGGAGGAACACCGGUGGCGAAGGCGGUUCUCUGGGCAUUACCUGACGCUGAGGAGCGAAAGUGUGGGGAGCGAACAGGAUUAGAUACCCUGGUAGUCCACACCGUAAACGUUGGGCGCUAGGUGUGGGGUCCAUUCCACGGAUUCCGUGCCGCAGCUAACGCAUUAAGCGCCCCGCCUGGGGAGUACGGCCGCAAG